AUUGAACGCUGGCGGCAUGCUUUACACAUGCAAGUCGAACGGUAACAGGCCGCAAGGUGCUGACGAGUGGCGAACGGGUGAGUAAUGCAUCGGAACGUGCCCAGUCGUGGGGGAUAACUACUCGAAAGAGUAGCUAAUACCGCAUACGAUCUAUGGAUGAAAGCGGGGGACCGUAAGGCCUCGCGCGAUUGGAGCGGCCGAUGUCAGAUUAGGUAGUUGGUGGGGUAAAGGCUCACCAAGCCAACGAUCUGUAGCUGGUCUGAGAGGACGACCAGCCACACUGGGACUGAGACACGGCCCAGACUCCUACGGGAGGCAGCAGUGGGGAAUUUUGGACAAAGGGCGCAAGCCUGAUCCAGCAAUGCCGCGUGCGGGAAGAAGGCCUUCGGGUUGUAAACUGCUUUUGUACGGAACGAAACGGCUCUGGUUAAUACCCGGGGCUAAUGACGGUACCGUAAGAAUAAGCACCGGCUAACUACGUG
rnacentral:rRNA from 1 species